AAAACAAGGUUAUGUGCUGCAGCUGUUGUCCUGUGCACAGCUGAUCCUUGUACUUUGCUGCUGCUUGAGGCUGUAGCCAUUCCGUGCUCCUUGCUGUGGCUGCACCAAGCUGUUCAGAGGCUCACCCUGGGGCGCCGAGGUGAAGAAUUUCUUAGCCGCAGAGAGAAGAAGCUGCCCAAGAAUGGAAAGGAAGAAAUAUAUCACAUCAUCUGUCUGUCCACAGGCUUUCCUUUGGGCUUAUGGAGAUUUCCUAGUGGUAAUUAUUUCCCAUUGACUCAGACCAAAGGACGGUGUGGACACCUCACAAACAUAUCCUUCUUCCAGCCAGUGGGGUCCUGCCAAUCUCCCUUGGAGUGGUCGGUUGAAGUGGAGCAGAUCAGUUGUGAAGCGCAGUCCCAGUUGCUUCAGAGGUAUGCGGCUGAUAUGGAGAAUAUGUCAAGUCAACUGGAUGAGUCAGCACGGGCAACAUAAAAGUACCCUCUAACACAUCCUGGAAAUAUUAUUCUGCCUGCUGUUCUUAUCUCACUUCACGUGAAUGCAUUUUGGCUUCUGCACAAGUCACUGUAGCGCUUUUACUUAAUUCUGUAUCCUUUCAGUAGCUUCAUGUAGUCAUCAAGGAACUUGUAAAGAUUCUAUUGACUUUUAGGAACAUGCUUGUUCCUUGUGGGAUUUCCUUUAAAAUUAUUAUUGGUUCCACUUUGUAGAAUAUCCUGUGAUCGCAGCAAGUGAAUAUGCUGAGUUUAAAAUCAUAAUUGUCGUUUACAUAAAACAACACAGAGAUACUGAGAUUUCAUGUAUGUGAUGAGGAAGGAAUGUGGCAGAACGAGCAACAUGGUACCUGUUGCCUGUUUUGUCAUCCUGGGCUUUUACUGUUGGGCUAUCUUUUAGUCCUUUCUAGUAGACACUAACAAUUAGAGGACUAAUAUGGAGAAAUAAAAGUAUAUGCAUAUUAUAUAGUGAGUAGAAUCUUACCAUUGUUGGUUGAUAUUAAAAAAGUGUUAUAGAGGAAACAUUUCAAGAUAUUUUCUGCUGCUUUCCAUGAAAUUAAGUAAUUAUUAGGACUUUUUCUGUGUAUGUCAGAGACUUUCUGGAAAAAGAGUCAUCUGAUUAAGUAAAACAGUGAACACUGAUCAUUCCUGCAUUCCUGCUUUCCUAAAUGUGUGUUCUUUGUUGACUUUCAAUCUAAUAGUAUUUAAAAUAAAUAAGCAAUAUAAAAUAGAACUGUAAUAUAUUAGAGGGAAGGCCUUAAUGAACACAGUUUGCUGUCUCAGCACAGCUACAAGGUAGGGAAUUCAGCAUCCAGUGCUGGCCUUAGCCCAAAGCAGGGUGAAAGAGCACUAAGGCUUGUGUGCAGAAGUUGAACAUUCUUUCUGGAUCCUGAAGGAAGCAAUUCAUUACAUCUUCCAUCCUUCAUCACUAGAAGCAUGGCAAUAGAGAAACAUAGUUCUGGUUUUGCUUACCUCUGCAGCAAGCACAAGCAUGGAGUCUUGCAAAUAAGGAGAGCAAUUUCUGUACUAAGAUGUGUUAGAUAAACUCUUUAACUCAUAUUUCAUUAUCUUCUUGAAUAAGCUGCAAAUGCUUAAGAAAUAUAUUUUCUCAUAUUUUAAUUCUGAAGAGGAGGUGAGUUUAAUGAAUGGUUGUCUCCUACUUCCAGUCUUGGUGCUAUUUCCUAGAAGGUCAGUUUGUAAAAGCAGAUAAGAUGUAAAUUAAUAGUAAAAAGAGGGAAGAUACAAUUUCAAGUAGAAAUUAAUAUCAUUUUUAAAGUAAAGUUUUAGUGUAAGGCAUCAGACUGGU
rnacentral:lncRNA from 1 species